CACCUGCCCGCGUGCAGGGUGAAAGGCCUUUGGGUUUGUAAAGUGCUUCAGGGGGGAAUAUAAUGACUCCACCCCCUGAACUUGACCGUGCCUAUUUCCGUGCCAGCCGGCUAACUACUUGCCAGGGGGCUAGGGUUGUUCGGAAUUACUGGCGUUGUCCGGAUUCUAUGGGUGCUGAGGGUGCGGGGGUGAAAUGCCGGGGCUCAACCCAAAUCCUGCCUUUCAACCUUCAAACUGCCUUUGAUAGUGCUUAUCUUGAAAUUCCGAGAGGUUGAUGGAAUUUCAUAUGUAUUCGUAAGAUGCCCAGAGAUCUGGGAGAAUCACUGUGUCGAUAGUGACCCUGAGGCCCGAAACUGAGGCUCAUGCACAAGAUUAUAUACAUUGAACGUGAUUACAUACCCUGAUAAAUGCCGCACUUCACGAUGUAUGCUUGGCGUUGGCUCUUUUAACUCAUUGACCUUUCUAACUGGUUAGUCCUACCACCUGGGUAGUACUCUCGCGAGGUGAAAACUGACAGGACUUGACGGAGACCAUGUGGAUCAAUGGAGCAUGUGGUUUAAAUCCUUGCAACCCCUUGACCCUUACCUGGCGUUAUCCUGCAUGAGGCUUGACCCUGAAAUGGGAACGACCCGGUGCUGCAUUGCUGAGGUGCUGCAUGGCUGUCGAUGCUCGUGCCGUGAGGUGUUGGGUUAAGUCCACACUUUCAGCUACCAUCUGUCCUUAGGUGCCAUCUGGAUAAGCUGCCCACUCUAAGGAGACUGACUACGUGGAUGACGACGAGUCCUCGUGAUGACGUACAAGUCAGCAUGACACAUGCGCCCAAUGCUACACGACUACGAGAAAGUGUGGUACAGUGAGCUAUACCGGAUUGGGGAUGUGAACUCGACCCAUGAUCACUACAUCUCUAGUAUGCAGUACGACUGUGUGACGCUGAAUCGCUACCAGUCCUUGAUCACAUGCUCUGCUGACACGUCACUGGCUUGUACAGACCACGCGUCCAUACCUGGCAAUAGGAGGCACCGACUCCGUGAUGAUACUGCCUAGGGUGAAACCUCUGAAUAGGGUUAAUCCUCUAC
rnacentral:rRNA from 1 species